GGCGGCGAGGCCGGGGGCUGUGGACCGGCCCGCCGGGGAGGGGCCAGGGAGAGGGGGGCGGCCCCUCGGUCAGCGCGGCCCGGAGGCCAGACCCGGUGCCCAGCUCCCCAGCGGGCGCCUGCCCUGGGCUGUAGUACGGGAGCCUCGGCAGUCUCGGGCGAGAGUUUCGGGAGAGGGUCCCGAGAUCCCGCCUUGCGGGGUUCGGAACCCGGCCCUGGCCCGCGACUCGGACCUACCCCGAGCAGGGCCCCGGUGAGGCCGCGGUGCCCCCGCUUUCAGAGCCCCGCCGCGCGCGGAACCGCAGGAGCAGGACGUCCACCGGCGGUUUGCGAGCGGCGGGCUCGGGAUUCUAGGCUUCUCCUAUUGUGACUAUUUGUAGUUUGUAAGUUUUUUUCUAGUGAACACUGUGGUGUUUUUUCAUUAAGAGCGGCGAUUUUUUCAAGGCGCCUGCAGAAGUUGAGCGGCCCGGCCCCGCAGUGUGAGCGGCCCCUUUCCAGACUGCUGGACUGCGCGUUCCUGGGCCCGGGACCCGGCUCCUCCUCCCUCGGCUCCCCGGCCGGCCCCGCCCCGCCCCCGCCCAUGCCCCGCCCUCCACUCCUGACCCCGCCCCUCCCCCGGCUGCGGCGAAAAUCCGGAGUGGCGGAUUGCCCUCUGCUCCGCGGGAGCCGGCUGUGGGCUCCUGCAGGAGCGGUGCCGGGGGUGCGGCUGACGCCGCUCGGCGCUCCCUCUUCUCACUCUGUCCUGGGCGAGCCACGCGGGGCAGCGCCGCGACCCCAGCCGCCGGCCCUGCCUCAGAAGCGGGUCAGGACCCGACUGAGCAUGCUCGCCCUCCAGCGCAGCGUGGCUCGACCAGGUGGACGCUGCCGGGACCCGGGGUCGGACCGCGCAGGGGAGGCGCAGGUGCGUGGUCCGGCCGCAGGUGCAGGGGACCUGGCUGGAAGGCGGGGGAGGGGCAUCUGGCCUGCAGAACCUCGCUCCACCUCGGAUGCGCUUGAGGUGGGCAUAGGAAUUUGCUUCGAAGCCUGUAACGGAAAAGAAGACGGGAAUGGAGGGCUUACAGGGAAGAGAUUUCACAGGUUCUAGAUGAAUAAACUCAACCCAGACAGAUGCUUUCAGGCUUGCCAGCCAGCCUGUCCCAGCUCUGCGUCUCUCCAGCUUCCUUCCUAAAUCACCACCACCACCUGCCCUAGGAGUGGAGCCCUUGGGUUGGAGCCAGCUGAUUGGAUGUGAGCUCUAAGGUGAGCGUUUUGCUCAAGAACUGUAGCUGCUAGAAGGUAUAUAACAUCUCAUUCAGAUGCCAGGAAAAGAAGAAGUGGGGUGGAGAUGUUUGUGCAUCUAACGGGUGGGUGGCGGGAAUGACAAUGACAUAAAUCUCCUAAUUCCAUAAGGACGUGGGACUCUCUGCUGACUGGGUCUUAGAACACUGGUAAAUUGUUCCACAGCAGUAGAAAGGGAUGCGGGGUUUUUAGGACACAUCCUAAGGAGAUCCCAUUCUUGUCUGUAUUCCACGUGCAUGCACAGACAACAGCUAAAAGGAAAUGAUACAUGUUGGGGGUGAGGGAGCCAGUAGCUUUUAAUUCAUUCCUUAUACUUCCUGGAUUAUGUGAGAAAAAUUUAAAUAGCACAUAUUAAUUUAAUAAUCAGAUGGGGAAAAAUAGAGAUCUUAGAAGNCCUUUUUUUUUUUUUUUUUUUGGUCUUUUCUAGGGCUGCACCUGUGGCAUAUGGAGGUUCCCAGGCUUAGGGUCGAAUCGGAGCUGUGGUGGCCGGCCUAUGCCAGAGCCACCACAACACAGCAUCCGAGCUGCGUCUGCGACCUACACCACAGCCCACGGCAACGCUGGAUCCUUAACCCACUGGGCGAGGCCAGGGAUCGAACCCACAACCUCAUGGUUCCUAGUCGGAUUUGCUAACCACUAUGCCACAACAGGAACUCCAUAUCCUACAUGCCUCUAAGGACUGUGGUCGAUUGAAAUGAUGUAGCUGAUACAAAAGUGUUUUUGAAAGUUGUGCAAUGUUUUAAAGAUACAAUGUGGUGUAUUUUUCUUUUUUCGGGUUUACUUAAAUUUUAUUUAUUUAUUUAUUUUUAUUAUUAUUUUUUAAUUUUUUAAAAUAGUUA
rnacentral:lncRNA from 1 species